GACGAACGCUGGCGGCGUGCUUAACACAUGCAAGUCGAACGGAAAGGCCCUGCUUUUGUGGGGUGCUCGAGUGGCGAACGGGUGAGUAACACGUGAGUAACCUGCCCUUGACUUUGGGAUAACUUCAGGAAACUGGGGCUAAUACCGGAUAGGAGCUCCUGCUGCAUGGUGGGGGUUGGAAAGUUUGGGCGUUCGGGACGGACUGCGCGGCUUUUCGGCUAGUUGGGGGGGGAGGGGCUGACCCAGCCUUUGGAGGAUAGCCGGCAUGAGAGGGUAGACGGGCACAUGGGGACUGCGAUACGGACCAGACUCCUACGGGAGGCAACAGGGGGGAAUAUUGUACAAUGGGAGGGAGCCUGAGGCAGCAACGCCGCGUGCGGGAAGACGGUCUUCGGGUUGUAAACCGCAGUAGCCUGUGACGAAGCGUGAGUGACGGUAAUGAGUAAAGAAGCACCGGCUAACUACGUG
rnacentral:rRNA from 1 species